UACAGAGGGCUCAAGCGUUGUUCGGAUUCAUUGGGCGUAAAGGGUGUGUAGGUGGCGCGCUAAGUCGGGUGUGAAAUUUCGGAGCUUAACUCCGAAACUGCAUUCGAUACUGGCGUGCUUGAGGACUGGAGAGGAGACUGGAAUUUACGGUGUAGCAGUGAAAUGCGUAGAUAUCGUAAGGAAGACCAGUGGCGAAGGCGGGUCUCUGGGCCGAUAUCGACGCUGAGGAGCGAAAGCGUGGGGAGCGAACAGG
rnacentral:rRNA from 1 species